CCUACGGGAGGCAGCAGUGAGGAAUAUUGGUCAAUGGGCGUAAGCCUGAACCAGCCAAGUCGCGUGAGGGAUGAAGGUUCUAUGGAUCGUAAACCUCUUUUAUCAGGGGAUAAAGUGCGGGACGUGUCCCGGUCUGUAUGUACCUGAUGAAUAAGGAUCGGCUAACUCCGUGCCAGCAGCCGCGGUAAUACGGAGGAUCCGAGCGUUAUCCGGAUUUAUUGGGUUUAAAGGGUGCGUAGGCGGCCUUUUAAGUUAGCGGUGAAAGGCUGUGGCUCAACCCUGGAAGUGCCGUUGAAACUGGGAGGCUUGAGUAUGUUAGAGGCAGGCGGAAUGCGUGGUGUAGCGGUGAAAUGCUUAGAUAUUACGCAGAACCCCGAUUGCGAAGGCAGCCUGCCGGGCCAUGACUGACGCUGAGGCACGAAAGCGUGGGGAUCAAACAGGAUUAGAUACCCCAGUAGUC
rnacentral:rRNA from 1 species